UGGCACCUUGAUGUCGGCUCAUCACAUCCUGGGGCUGUAGCCGGUCCCAAGGGUUUGGCUGUUCGCCAAUUAAAGUGGUACGUGAGCUGGGUUUAGAACGUCGUGAGACAGUUCGGUCCCUAUCUGCCGUGGGCGUCGGAAGUUUGAGAAGAGCUGCUCCUAGUACGAGAGGACCGGAGUGGACGAACCUCUGGUGUUCGGGUUGUCAUGCCAAUGGCAUUGCCCGGUAGCUACGUUCGGACGGGAUAACCGCUGAAAGCAUCUAAGCGGGAAGCCCCCCUCGAGACCA
rnacentral:rRNA from 1 species